UUUGCUACUUCUUGCUCACUGGAUCCAGUGAGCAUAAUGUCAUCAAUGUAAUGAACCAGUGUGAUAUCUUGUGAAAGCAAAAAGCAAUCAAGUUCUCCCUGGAUAAGAUUAUGAUACAAAGCUGGAGAGCUGAUAUAUCCCUGAGGUUGGACAUUAAAGGUAUAUUGCUGGCCUUGCCAGCUGAAGACAGAUUGCUUCUGGUGGGCCUUAUGGACAGGAAUGGAGAAAAAGGCAUUUGCCAAGUCAAUGGCUGCAUACCAGAUACCAGCAGAUGUGUUAAUUUGCUCAAGCAAUGAAACCACAUCUGGUACAGCAGCUACAGUUGGAGUCACCACUUUGUUAAGCUUACGAUAAUCCACUGUCAUUCUCCAAGAUCCAUCUGUCUUCUGCACAGGCCAAAUGGAAGAGUUGAAUGGGGAUGUGGUGGGAAUCACAACCCAUGCAUCCUUCAAGUCCUCGAUAGUGGUACUAAUCUCCGCAAUCCCUCCAGGGAUGCAAUCUUGUUUUGAUUUAGUGUUUUUCUAGGUAGAGUCAUCUCUAAUGGCUUCCAUUUGGCCUUUCCUACCUUAAUAGCUCUCACCCUUCCAGUCAGAGAGCCAAUGUGGGGGUUCUGCCAGCAGCUAAGUAUAUCUAUACCAGUUAUGCAUUCUGGCACUGGGGAAGUGACUGCAGAUGAGUCUGGGGACCCACUGGCCAUGCUGUAAGUCAAUAUGAGCUAAAACUCCAUGAAUUACCUGACCUCCAUAAGCCAUUACUUUAAUUGAAGGACGACAAUAACAUUUUGUGUCCCCCGGAAUCAAUGUCAGCUCAAAAUCAGUGUCCAGUAGUCCACAUAAUGUCUGAUCAUGCACAGUUACCCUGGUAAAAGGCCUCCUUAGGGAAGGAUGGGAGAAACAUUCACAGCAUAAAUUGUUGGUACUAUAGUGGGGUCCUUCCUCUUGCGUACCUUCACUCAAGGGGUUCUGGGUCUGUAAACUGGCUCAAGUCUGGAAAUUGAUUGAUGGGCUGUGAUUCUCUGUUUUUAUAAUUCAAAUUAGCUUUUUGUCCAUUUGACCUAGAAGUUUUCUGCUAAUAUAAAUUAAGCAGGAAUGCAUUAGGUUUCCUAUCAAUUUCACUUCUAGGAACACUGUGAUUAAUUGGCCAGUGCCAGAGCUCUGCAUGAGUCAGGCUGUUCUGAUUGCUUCUUUGUCUCUGUUGUCCAUUACAGUAGCUAGGCCCGCCUUGCCUUUGGUGGUUGCGUGCCACCACUUGGCCCUUGCCACCUCGGCAUCAAAUUGUUCUUGCAUUUAAAUUUUAUAGUUGAAUGAUCUCAGUUCCCACUGUUAGAUCUCACAUACAGAGUAGAGCAAUUACAGGGCUCUUCAGAGAUGCAGGUAUGGCCCUCACAAAUCUGUUUCACAAGGCAUUUGGUCAAGGGUAUAUCUUCUGGAACCUCCCAGAUGGGAUGAGUAGGUCUAAAGUGACUAAACCACUCCACCAUCUCAAUCUCCCUAAGACUUUGGAUUCCUUCCUCUACAUUAAACCAAGGGAGAUCAGACAUAUCCACCUUGCUCACAGUGGGCCAUCUUUAAUCCAUAUUUCAGCUUAUUAAGCAAAUAGACUAUUAGAAUCUUUUUUAACUCCUCAAGCUGAAACAUUAAAUGCAAAGUCCCUACUUAGUGGACCUAAAUCAAUAAAUUCAGCCUGAUCCAACUCUUGUGUAUCUCCCACUAUUAU